ACGCUCGACACCUACGGAGGCAGCAGUGGGGAAUAUUGCACAAUGGGGGAAACCCUGAUGCAGCGACGCCGCGUGGAGGAAGAAGGUCUUCGGAUUGUAAACUCCUGUUGUUAGGGGAAAAAGAGGAUGGUACCCAACAAGGAAGUGACGGCUAACUACGUGUCAGCAGCCGCGGUAAUCUGAGGCGGGCUGGCAAGGC
rnacentral:rRNA from 1 species